rnacentral:rRNA from 1 species
AUUGAACGCUGGCGGCAGGCCUAACACAUGCAAGUCGAACGGUAACAGGAUACAGCUUGCUGUUUCGCUGACGAGUGGCGGACGGGUGAGUAAUGUCCGGGAAACUGCCUGAUGGAGGGGGAUAACUACUGGAAACGGUAGCUAAUACCGCAUAACGUCGCAAGACCAAAGAGGGGGACCUCCUGGCCUCUUGCCAUCGGAUGUGCCCAGAUGGGAUUAGCUUGUUGGUGGGGUAACGGCGCACCAAGGCGACGAUCCGUAGCUGGUCUGAGAGGAUGACCAGCCACACUGGAACUGAGACACGGUCCAGACUCCUACGGGAGGCAGCAGUGGGGAAUAUUGGACAAUGGGCGCAAGCCUGAUGCAGCCAUGCCGCGUGUGUGAAGAAGGCCUUCGGGUUGUAAAGUACUUUCGGCGGGGAGGAAGAGAGUAAGGUUAAUACCUUGGCGCAUUGACGUUACCCACAGAAGAAGCACCGGCUAACUCCGUG